UUGUAACUCCGGAAAGAGAGGGAUUCAC
rnacentral:tRNA from 1 species